GUGCUUUGCCAGCUCAUAUAUUAAAAUUAGAAAGAUGUGGAGAAGAUUAUCAUGGUCUCUGGGCAAGAAUGACAAGCAAAUUCAUGCAGAGUCUCAUAUUUUU
rnacentral:snRNA from 1 species